AAAAAAAUAUGUAACAUCAUAAGAGCAGCCUCAACGGUAAAAUACAUUCUCAGUCCCUUAUCUCUAUUAUUUUAAUUAUUUAAGUAUAAUUUCAUUAUUUAUUUAUAUUUUUAGUUACAGAUAAAAAAAUUGACCAAUUAUAUUUCACCACAUGUGAGGUGGAUUUCUCAGUACAGUAAAGCAAAGCCUUAUUCUUAGGACCCUAUUUCUCUCUUUCCUCUUCUCUCUCUUACUUUUUUAAUUAAUUAUCAUUACUUUUUUUUGAAGAGACUUAUUAAAGCUCACCGGUGGGGCUGCUCUAAGGACGAGUUAGCCUAGUGGUUAAGCCUCUUAGUUACCAAAAAUAUAAGAAAGUCACAUAUACAAUUCACGUUAGGAAGGGUCUGUUCUUCAAAGAAAAAAUAAAUUACAUGGUCUAAACCAGGUCAUGGAGGAUAUACGGACAGCCCAUAACUUCCUAGAAAUCAGAAGAAAAGAACAUAUGGCAUAUGACGACUUAUCUUUUCUUUUGGUAAUAAAAGAAAUAUGUAACAGCAUAACAGAAUCAAACUUGUGUUGGAGUUUAUUAUAUAAACAUAGACUGUUAUUAAUGUCAAUAUUUUGUAUACAUACACAUAUAUAUCCAUACUGUUAAUUGGUAAUCAUUGUAAACUAAAUAACUUUAUGAGGUAGUUUAUUACAUAGGAUGCAGUUACAAUUUUGCAUUCCAAGAGUA
rnacentral:sRNA from 1 species